UAGGGGCAACUCUACUUUAGUGGCGGACGGGUGAGGAAUGCGUAGGAAUCUACCCUAAAGCGGGGGAUAACUCGGGGAAACUCGAGCUAAUACCGCAUAUGCUCUACGGAGUAAAGCCGGGGGCCUUCGGGCCUGGCACUUUAGGAUGAGCCUACGCCGGAUUAGCUAGUUGGUGGGGUAAAGGCCCACCAAGGCGACGGUCCGUAGCUGGUCUGAGAGGAUGACCAGCCACACUGGGACUGAGAUACGGCCCAGACUCCUACGGGAGGCAGCAGUGGGGAAUAUUGGACAAUGGGCGCAAGCCUGAUCCAGCAAUGCCGCGUGUGUGAAGAAGGCCUUCGGG
rnacentral:rRNA from 1 species